rnacentral:rRNA from 1 species
AUUGAACGCUGGCGGCAAGCCUAACACAUGCAAGUCGAACGAGUGGCGGACGGGUGAGUAAUGUCUGGGAAACUGCCUGAUGGAGGGGGAUAACUACUGGAAACGGUAGCUAAUACCGCAUACCAUCGGAUGUGCCCAGAUGGGAUUAGCUAGUAGUUGGGGUAAAGGCUCACCUAGGCGACGAUCCCUAGCUGGUCUGAGAGGAUGACCAGCAACACUGGGACUGAGACACGUGCCAGACUCCUACGGGAGGCAGCAGUGGGGAAUAUUGCACAAUGGGCGCAAGCCUGAUGCAGCCAUGCCGAGUGUAUGAAGAAGGCCUUAGGGUUGUAAAGUACUUUCAGCGGGGAGGCGUUACCCGCAGAAGAAGCACCGGCUAACUCCGUGCCAGCAGCCGCGGUAAUUC